rnacentral:rRNA from 1 species
ACUCCUACGGGAGGCAGCAGUGGGGAAUAUUGCACAAUGGGCGCAAGCCUGAUGCAGCCAUGCCGCGUGUGUGAAGAAGGCCUUCGGUUGUAAAGCACUUUCAGUUGUGAGGAAGGUGGUGUCGUUAAUAGCGGCAUCAUUUGACGUUAGCAACAGAAGAAGCACCGGCUAACUCCGUGCCAGCAGCCGCGGUAAUACGGAGGGUGCGAGCGUUAAUCGGAAUUACUGGCGUAAAGCGCAUGCAGGUGGUUUGUUAAGUCAGAUGUGAAAGCCGGGGCUCAACCUCGGAACUGCAUUUGAAACUGGCAGACUAGAGUACUGUAGAGGGGGUAGGAAUUUCAGGUGUAGCGGUGAAAUGCGUAGAGAUCUGAAGGAAUACCGGUGGCG